rnacentral:lncRNA from 1 species
UGCUUUAUCUUUGUAGGGGUAUAUUGGGAAUUGACUUGAAAAGCAGCACUUUAUAAAUGCGAAAAUUGUUGCCCCCUUCGAAACGCUAGCCCUUCGUUCGCUCAUCGCCCCCUUUUGUUUUUACCCAUAUUUCUCUCCCUCUCUCUCUCUAAACUUCUUUUUCUCUCGAUUUUCAGAUCCAUAAGGUACUUAUUCUCAUUUAUAUCUGUGAUUUCUUGCCCUAUUCUGGUUACUCUUCCCAUUUUUUAUGUAGGGUUUACUGCUGCUAUUUCGUUCUCGAUUUUUUGGGGGUUUUUGGGUUUUUUUUUUCAGUGAAGAGAUCUAAUGCUGUUUUCUUAUUUUUUGCAGAGGCAGGCUUCUACGUUUUGGGGUUGAUUUUUUGGGUGGAGAGGACGAUUUUGUGGGGUGAAAAUGUCUGGAAAGGGAGCAAAGGGGCUCUUGAUGGGGAAAACCCCAGCAGCGAACAACAAGGACAAGGAUAAGAAGAAACCAGUUUCUCGCUCUUCUCGUGCUGGCCUCCAGGUAAGGCUUUAGUGCUUUAUUGCUUGAG